UGAUGGACUCACCAGGAUGCUCUUGUACAUGUUGCCAUUCUCCACGUCCAGGCUGACCCUGAUGAUGCAGCAGUCGUCCACCUGCUGGUUGUACAGCGGCAGAGACAGAGUCGAGUAGUUCGACACCGCAGACACCGAGCGUUUGUGUGAGCGGGAGGCUGACAGCGGGGUGGAGCAGGAGACGGAGGAGGAGGAGGCGCUGCUGGAGCCGGAGGCCGAACCGGAGGUGUCCAGAGACGACAGAGACGUACACUCCCAGAACUGAACAGGAGAGCAGAGGAGGUAGUGAGGACUAUUUUUAUUAUCAAUGAAUCUGUCCGUUUACUUUUUGAUUUAACGGUGUGCUAUAACUUUUCUUUUUCUUUGAAAAGUAAAGUCUAUUUGUGGAUGUCAUCAGGGUUACCUCUCCAAGAUUUUUGACAGAAAGUCUGUGUUACAAACUGGAGGUUUAACGAGUUUAAAGGAUGUGGGCGUUUACCAGGUCUAACCAUGAGAUUUAGUUGCAUUGUGGGGAAGAUCCAGUGAUUUUCAAGCUUAACCUAUACUAGGGACUAAAAGUCAGGAUAUCUCAGCCUCUGCUGCUACGUUUUUAUCACUAUUUAACCUCUCUCUUGCAUGUCUCAAAUCUUCAUGUAAAUAAAAUACUAAACUGCUUCUCUUUAAUAGCUCAAUCAUUUAAGUUGUAAAAUGUUCGAAAAUGAAAUUUCCAUCAAAAUGUUACAUGUUAAUUUACAGGUUUUGUUAGAGCAACAGUCCAAAACCCAAAGACAUUCAAUUUACAAUAUUAUAAAACAAAAACACUCACUAUAUUUUAGAUGCUGGAACCAAAUAUUGUUUAGUAAUUCUGCUUGAUACAUUUUAUGAAGCAGUUUGUUAGCUUGUUGGCUUGCUAACUUGAAUGAUCUCAUCUAUGAACUCAAGUAUUGGGAUGCAGAUGACUCUAGAUUUGAGUUUAUAAUCUCUGGACCAUUAAUGUCUUUAAACCUUUUAAUGGGUAUGCAUCCAUCCAAUUAUUAUUGAGAUAUUUAACUUUGGACCCAGAAGCACUCAGGAGGAUAUAUAUUUAUAGUUAAACAUUGCUAAUAUUUUGCCAUACUGGCAUCUAUAAACAUGCCUGAUCGAGUUUUCAGGAUAAAAAUGCUAAUUAAAAAAAUAAGACUUACCGUUGAUGCUGUAUCCGCUGCUGGAGCUUCUCUCCCCAAAGCAGAGACGGUAAGUUUCACUGAAGGCGUCGACGUCUAGAGAGUGAGAGAGAGAGGAUAGAAGCCAUCAACAAACAACCACACAGGUGAGCAUGUAGCACUGGUAUUUCAUUGGCUGCAAAGAGUCAUUUAACCUUGUGUGGUUAAAUAUGGAAUGAAGACAACAUGACAAUGUCAAUCAAACAUAUACACUUACCAGUACUUCAAAUUUACCACUUCUCACAUCUAUAUGCAACUCAACUAGAAGCAACCUUACCGUUAACCUUGAUUAUAUUUUUGACAAAGUGUAUAUUUUGGAUUUUGUGGAUUUUGGAUAUAAUACCUUCACACUGGUAAAGUUUUGCAGUGACUUCUCUAUCCCGUCUUUCUUCCUUACUUUUCUCUCAUGUCCCUCCGGGGAAUCGGACAGGAAGCUGGCGUUCACAUCCUCCAGGUCUGAACCGCUGGAGCUGACGGAGGUGACGCUGAGGGCGUCGCCGCUGUCCCCCCCGCCUCCUUGGUACGGCCUGUAGUGUGAGUGGUCGAACGACUUGGAAUGAGAACCCGGGGCGCUGCUACAGCCGGCCUCAGUCAACUGCCGGCUGGACACGACAUAAAGGGGGGAGAGUCAUUGGUGGUUGAGCUUCAAACAGUCUGGAGAAAAACGACUAUAAGAUUAUCAUAUAUGAUUAUUAAGUGAUUUGUAAUAAAUUUGGACACAACUGAAAGAUCAUAAAAUGUUUGUCUCUCUCUCUCUUAGCAGCUCAUUAUGCAUCUCACUUUUGAUCAAAUCACUUACUCGCUCCAGCGUUUCAUGAUUCCUCCGUUCUUCUUGGCUCUGAGCGUGUUGCUGGCCGACUCUGACAGAGGCUCGAUCUCACAGGACAGAUUGUAGCUGCAGGAACAGGAAGUCAGGACAAUGACAACAUUUCGCCCAAUUCAUUACCCAGAAAUCCAGCACGGGUAUGUCAGUGAACAGAAAAUGACCCUGAGUGCUGGAUAAUCACUUCAUUUUAAUUACGACACAAGUAAGUCCAGCUUUCUCUAAAAGGCGACAAACUGAAUCUGCUCUUCAUUAUUUUGAAUUUAAUGUGGAAAAAUAAAAACUCUGCUGUGUCAAAAUCUGUAGGAAUGGGUAAAUUUUCUUAUAACCUAAUAAUCUGAAUCUGCAACAUAACUAGUAACUAAAGCUUCAAAAUAAAUAUAGUGGAGUAGAAGUAUAAAGAACUUUAUACUUCUACUUCUAUAGUUAGUAUAAAGAACUUUAUACUUCUACCCAGUAAAUGUACUUCAUUACUUUCAUCACUAGAGUGGGAGGAGAGUGAGGUCAAUUUCUGUUUGUCUUUGGCAGAGUUUAAAUAUUCUGACUAACCUCUCUGCCUCGCUGAGUUUCUCCACGCCUGCGAACCACUCUCUGAAGUGGCUGUCCUGAGUGAAACUGUAGUUGUUGGAGGCCAACUGGAGCAGUUUGAUCUGAGCGAUGACCUCAAACUCCUGCAAAGAAAGGGAUUUAAUUGUCAGAUUUUCAUUUGCCAGAUUAGUUUUGAUCUGUUUGUCUGUUCUGAGCUGAAAGAUGAUUUCUAUAAGACACUGUGCUUUUGUAAAUCUUUCCUUCUUUGAGGUUUUUCAGAUCAUUACAGCCAAACAAGAACAUUUCAUUCACCUUUCUCCUCUUCUCGAAGUUGAUCAGACCACCCUGCAAAAGGACAUAAAAAAAUUAAAACCUGCAAGGGAGGGUCCGUCAGAAAGGUCCCCAGGUAAGGAAUCGUCCCCUGCAUCACUCCCUGUUCACAGAGGGACAGAGGGACCAUCGGUGGAGGCAAACAUGAGAAAACAACUCUUCAGAGACAUUUUGUUUUGGAGAUGAAUGGAUUUCACCACUAGGACGAACUGCAGUGACUUCAUUGUGCCACUAGAUGGGGCUGUUGGCUCAUUGCUCAGUGUUGCAAGGCAGCAGCCAGACUGAGUAGGAAUGUGUAUGUGUGACUAUGUGAAGCUGAGCAGUGUGGUGAACAAAGUCUUCCAUAAAUAAAUAAAGUUUGGAUAAA